rnacentral:rRNA from 1 species
UACGUAGGUGGCAAGCGUUGUCCGGAAUUACUGGGCGUAAAGAGCGCGUAGGCGGGCGCUUAAGUCAGGGGUGAAAACUGGCAGCUCAACUGCCAGCCUGCCUUUGAGACUGGGCGUCUUGAGGACAGGAGAGGAGAGCGGAAUUCCUAGUGUAGCGGUGAAAUGCGUAGAUAUUAGGAGGAACACCAGUGGCGAAGGCGGCUCUCUGGCCUGUAACUGACGCUGAGGCGCGAAAGCGUGGGGAGCGAACGGG